UGGGGCUUCCCAGAUUGCCGGGAUCAAGCCCUGAGCCUAAGGCAGACGCCUAACCGCUGUGCCACCCAGGCGCCCCGGGGAAGAAACUUUUUAUACUCAGUAUCUCUAUGAACAGGAGGGUUGCUUCUGGGAAGAUUGGCUGCUGAUUCACUGUUGAUUCUUUAAAGUUUCAAGCGUCAAAUUUUACUGGAUAAAACAUUACCUAAAUUCCAAAGCCUGCCCUUUCUUCACACUUAUUUUUUGCCAAAGGCUGUUAUUAUUCCCAUAAUCUAACUUGUACCUGUUCCCCAGGUUGGGGAGGUUACUUCUCAUGCGAUGUUUCCCCCAGCUCGCCUUCCUCAUUUCCUGCUCACUGCAGUUCUUGGCUGGACUUUCUAUCAUGACCGUUUUUGCAAACAGUGUUAUGCUCGGUAAGUCAACACUUUUGGCCUUGUACACUUUCCAAGCCUUGACUCUGACUUUGACAUCCCGCCUUUGUUUGAACUUCCAGUCCUGUUUGUGUUUUUGUGUGGUUUUUUUUUUUUUUUUUCAGUUGUAGAACGGACAGUGCCCCGAUUCCAAGCCCUGGGAAUGACUCCGGUAAUCUGUGUCAGUAUUUUCGGACAUUUAAACUUACGAGGUCUGGCUUUUGCCAUUCAAGGCUGGUGUACUUUUCAGCUGGUGGUUUCUGUGACAUUAUUUGUCAUCUUUCUGUCUUUAAGGAAUGAACUCUGUCUUAGUCUUAGAGGACCCUGGGAUGAAAGAUGCAUGGAGCCAGGGAUACAGAAAAAUAAGCCAUCUGUCUUAUCCUCCAUUAUGGACCUCAUGAUGCCUACCUUUUGUGAAAACUGAGUGAUUUCUUCCUGUUGUUGAAGGUUGUGAGAUGCAGAAGGACCUGGAGGCAGCAAAGAUAAAACCUUCCAUGUGUGACUCGGUUCACGCAUUCAACCUGCAUAAAGGAAUCUGUGCCCUGUCCUCUGUGAGACUCGCAACUGCCGUACUCUCUUAUGGCCUGACUCUCCACCUCCGGCACGUGCGGGAAAUUAUUUGCCUGUUCCAGAUUCUCUCUGGCUUCGUCAACCUUCCAGGCAACUGGGCUGGAUUUUUGGCAAUGAAUCACCUGGGCCGACGAGUGAGCCAGAUGAUUUUUAUGUUCCUGCUGGGAAUCUCCAUUCUAGCCAUCACAUUUGUGCCCUGAGGUGAGAAGAGAGCACGGGGUAGAAAAUAGAUUCUCGGCAUUCCGCAGGGAUUGCACGGACCACCAAUCUGAAGCCAGAAGGGAAGCGAGGAUGGUGUUCCAAGGAUUUCCCGAAACCAGUCAGGGGGUGAGCACAGUUUCUGCUGUUACGUUGCCAGGACGAGAAACCCAGGUGAGCAAAGGUCAGCUUAGCUCUAUGAUUGACUUCAACACAUCUUGGAAGUGUCUGGAAACUGAUGCCACCUCUUGCCGGUGGGUUCUCCAUGACAGUAAUUGAUCACUUGUAUUUUGGCCGGUAACACUUUAUAUAGAAAGUGUGGAGGGUCUGGAGCUUGUCAUUGGAUCCCACGGGAGAACACAAUACUGUCUUUCUCGGUUUGGGCUCUAUUUUGUUACUAUAGCUUCAGCGAACAUUUACUCUCUGGUAAGGCACUCAGGUGCCUUCUCUCAGGUCGCGGUAACUGCCGCUCUGGUUUAGGGAUGUCAUCCUGACAGCAAGAAAAUAAAAAUUCCUUGUCUUCAAGGAGAGGAGUCCACGGUAGGAACAAGGCAUUAAGCCAUUAAGAGGCUCUCUUCGAUCUCUUUAACUAAAUGAAAUGAUUUUAUAUAUAACGAAUGGGGCGACCAGGGUGGUUCACAGGCUCCACCUAACUCCCAGCACAGCUGUGCAUUUUACAGGACCCCAGAUCUGGGCUCCGCAUCUCAUACUGAACGUCAGCAAUGAUGCAAGUUUGCUGUCUUACAACAGAGCCCACUCCAGUGUUGUAACGGGGAGAGCGAGCUGCGGGGAGAGACAGAGGGAGAGGGAG